UGGGCUUGUAGCUCAGUGGAUUAGAGCACGUGGCUACGAACCACGGUGUCGGGGGUUCGAGUCCCUCCUUGCCUGA
rnacentral:tRNA from 2 species